GGGGUUGUGGCUCAGUAGUAGAGCACUCACCUAGCACAUGAGAGGCCCUGGGUUUGAUCCUCAACACCA
rnacentral:tRNA from 1 species